rnacentral:rRNA from 1 species
AAUCAACGCUGGCGGCGUGCCUCAGACAUGCAAGUCGAACGCGAAAGUUCCCUUCGGGGGAUGAGUAGAGUGGCGCACGGGUGAGUAACACGUAGGUAAUCUACCUUCGGAUGGGGAAUAACAACCGGAAACGGUUGCUAAUACCGCAUAAUGCAGCGGCACCUAAUGGUGACAGUUGUUAAAGCGGGGGAUCGAAAGACCUCGCGUCUGAAGAGGAGCCUGCGGCGGAUUAGCAGUUGGUAGGGUAACGGCCUACCAAGGCUACGAUCCGUAGCCGGCCUGAGAGGGCGGUCGGCCACACUGACACUGACAUACGGGUCAGACUCCUACGGGAGGCAGCAGUCGGGAAUUUUGGGCAAUGGGCGAAAGCCUGACCCAGCAACGCCGCGUGAAGGAUGAAAUCCCUCGGGAU